rnacentral:rRNA from 1 species
UACGUAGGGUGCGAGCGUUAAUCGGAAUUCUGGGCGUAAAGCGUGCGCAGGCGGUGAUGUAAGACAGUUGUGAAAUCCCCGGGCUCAACCCGGGAACUGCGUCCGAUACUGGGAGGCUUGAAUCCGGGAGAGGGAUGUGGAAUUCCAGGUGUAGCGGUGAAAUGCGUAGAUAUCCGGAGGAAUACCAGUGGCGCAAGCGGCGCUCUGGGUCGAGCCUGACACUGAGACGCGAAGGCAUGGGGAGCGAACGGG